UCCAUCUGUUUGAUGUCUGUUUUCUUAAAGUUCUCACUUUAUGUGUUAGCAACUAAGAAUUAGGGUUGCGCUCAUUAUACGGAAUUAACCUAAAUCUCAUGACACAAGCUGACGAUAGCCAUGCAACACUUAAUUUUGUUUUAGUGGUGUACAAUUGCCUUUCUAGCUAACUUAGUACACUAACAAAAUAGAUAAGAACUGGUAAGAUUUUUGGUGUUGUAUCUAAUUAAACCACAUGCUCCACCGCUUGUAAAAAGCUCCCGUCAAUUCCCUAAAGUUUCAAUCUUGCGAUUGUAGUCCCCAGGUGGAUUAUUUAACGCGUUAGCUGUACUACCAGUUAAUUGCAACUAAUAAUUAAUAAUCAUCGUUUACUGCGUGGACUAC
rnacentral:misc_RNA from 1 species